UACAGAGGUCCCAAGCGUUGUUCGGAUUCAUUGGGCGUAAAGGGUGUGUAGGUGGCGCCGUAAGUCGGGUGUGAAAUUUCGAGGCUUAACCUCGAAACUGCAUUCGAUACUGCGGUGCUUGAGGACUGGAGAGGAGACUGGAAUUCAUGGUGUAGCAGUGAAAUGCGUAGAGAUCAUGAGGAAGACCAGUGGCGAAGGCGAGUCUCUGGACAGUUACCGACGCUGAGGCACGAAGGUCAGGGGAGCAAACGGG
rnacentral:rRNA from 1 species